UGUAUGGAGUAGCAGUAAAACGUCUAGAACUAAGAGAUCAUCUAACCCCUUAGCAGAGGUCAUCGCAGCACUUGCAAGGAAGUUGUAAAGAGUUGAAGCCAUCCAGCUCAUGGACCGUUUCCUCUGCAUGCCUUCAGUCCAGUUUUCCCUCCAGGAAGAAGACAUCGAACAGAAUGUGGUAUAUCACAGAGCCCUGAGCCUUGUAAGUGUCUCAUCACCUCCUUCCUCCUCCUCCUAUGCUCAUGUAUGGAAGAGCUAUGUGCUGUUUCCACAACAAACACUGCAGGAACCUUUGGUGCUCUGCUUUCUCACCACUUGUCAUCUCCGUCAACAUGCUCAACACCACCGCCAUCAUGCAGAAAAUAACCAGUGUAACUUGGCUUUCUACUGUAUCCAAGAUUCAUUUAAACCAUCAUUCUCUGUCUUUGCUUUUUUUAAUGGCAGGUCAGGGUCAGUAAUUUAUCUCCUGAGAAUGUUCUUCGCUUUCAUGGAACAGUAGGAUUGCAAUUCUUACUAGUUCUUUACUUUCUGAAUAUAAUCUGUAAUAAAGAUUUAAUGAGUUGAUACAUCAUGAUCUAGACAAACCCAUCAGCACUUUGU